rnacentral:rRNA from 1 species
GACGGGGGGAGCAAGCGUUGUUCGGAUUUACUGGGCGUAAAGGGCGCGUAGGCGGCCACUGCAAGUCGAUUGUGAAAUCUCCGGGCUUAACCCGGAAAGGUCAGUCGAUACUGCAGGGCUAGAGUGCAGAAGGGGCAACCGGAAUUCUCGGUGUAGCGGUGAAAUGCGUAGAUAUCGAGAGGAACACCUGCGGCGAAGGCGGGUUGCUGGGCUGACACUGACGCUGACAGCGCGAAAGCUAGGGGAGCGAACGGG